AAAUUAGCUUUCUAAAAU
rnacentral:snRNA from 1 species